GCGCGGGUUCAAGCUAUUCUCCUGCCUCAGCCUCCUGAGUAGCUGGGAUUACAGGCAUGUGCCACUAUGCCCGGCUAAUUUUUGUAUUUUUAGUAGAGACGGAGUAUCUCCAUGAUGGUCAGGCUGCUCUCGAACUCCGGACUUCAGGUGAUACACCCACCUCAGCCUCCCAAAGUGCUGGGAUUAUAGGUGUGAGCCACUGCACCCAACCUACCUGUAUGUUUUGAGGGAAUGGUUUUGUGUGUGUGUUUGUUUUUAAUAAUAUCCGGACUGGUCCAAAAGGAAAGAUGCUUUAUCUAGUGUCUAUUUCCCAGGACCAGGAUCUUAGGCUCUGAUAAUCUGCCCAUAUUCAUUCCCAGAUGCCCCCAGGGAGUGGAAAAUAGAUGGCCAUAAAGCAGAAUCAACUACUAAGUGUUACUGUCUUGAGCUCAGGUAUCAGCUCUCCUCUGGGGCCUGUUGAGAGUUGGGGGGUCAGGUGUGGGCAGAGCAUCUCCCUGCCUCCUGGGCAUAGGAGGUGACAUCAGGUUAUCUUCUUGACCCUAGGCCUCCUCUCUCUGCAGUGCCUCUCUCAUCCCUGCAAUCCAGACAGCACAUGCAGGAGCUCAAAUAAGUGCCACCUCUGGAUAUGAAAAACAGGACCCAGAGAGGGGAAAUCAUUUGAAUCUUGUCCUGGAAUUGCUUUGUGUUCCUGGAUUUGGAGAAUUUCUGGGAACACAGGAAAAGGAAAGCCAACUCCAUUCCUGGCUACCUCAUCCCCUCCAGUCUGAAAGGACGUGUGAAUGCCACCAGGAUCUGAACCCAAGAUCUCCAGCCUCCGUCACCAUCCUGACCCUGAGAAUGCCACUGGAAUGGGGAGAACUUGCCAGUCUUCAUCCUUCCCCACAAGUGUACUGAGGCCAGGACAGCACCUGCCUUAGAGAGCUCUUAGAGGGAUUAUCCGCAGCCUGAAGAAAGAAGGUUACAACUGUGGAAGACCUUCUGAACAGGGAAGAGUGGAAGAAAAGACUGGAGUAGGUAGAGCAUCAAGGGAAGCUGUGGAAACAUAUUUUCUUAAGUACAGGUAGAGAGGGGAAACAAAAUAUUUAUAACUUGGAAUGUGAGAAGGGGAUAUCCACAGAAAUUCUUAAGGGACAGCUCCAGGUCCUUGAGUGGACCCUAACAGCUGCUUCCAGGCUGGCAUUUUCCACUUCCCACACCCUUCCCUGCCCCUGCUUCCUGGCCACUUCCAGUCUAUGUCCCUCUCAUAUUUCUUUUGUUUGUUUGUUUGUUUGUUUGAAAGGAUGGACUCUGCCUCAUGUUGCCCAGGCUGG
rnacentral:lncRNA from 1 species